rnacentral:rRNA from 1 species
UCACCGUCGUACGGGUGCGUAACGCGUAUGCAACCUACCUUCUACUGGGGGAUAGCCCGGGGAAACCCGGAUUAAUACCGCAUGACACAGCGGGGUCUCAUGGCUUUGCUGUUAAAGAUUUAUCGGUGGAAGAUGGGCAUGCGUCUGAUUAGCUAGUUGGUGUGGGUAACGGCCCACCAAGGCGACGAUCAGUAGGGGAGCUGAGAGGUUGAUCCCCCACACGGGCACUGAGAUACGGGCCCGACUCCUACGGGAGGCAGCAGUAGGGAAUAUUGGGCAAUGGAUGAGAGUCUGACCCAGCCAUGCCGCGUGCCGGAUGAAGGCCCUCAGGGUUGUAAACGGCUUUUAUCCGGGAAGAAGAGCGGGGAUGCGUCCCUGUGUGACGGUACCGGAUGAAUAAGCACCGGCUAACUCCGUGCCAGCAGCCGCGGUAAUACGGAGGGUGCAAGCGUUGUCCGGAUUUAUUGGGUUUAAAGGGUGCGUAGGUGGCUUGUUAAGUCAGUGGUGAAAGACAGCCGCUCAACGGUUGAGGUGCCAUUGAUACUGACGGGCUUGAAGCAGACAGAGGCUGCCGGAAUGGAUGGUGUAGCGGUGAAAUGCAUAGAUAUCAUCCAGAACACCGAUUGCGAAGGCAGGUGGCUAUGUCUGACUUGACACUGAGGCACGAAAGCAUGGGGAGCAAACAGGAUUAGAUACCCUGG